UUUUCUUCACUCCAGAUGCACUGGUUACUAAUUUAAGUUGCAAACACCACAAACAGAUCCUGGCUAACUUAAGUUCAUUGGAAAGGUAUCUCUGGUACCACAGAGAAUGGAAGGAAAACACAAUGAGCCAGACUGCAAAAAAGUAGGCAUGCACCAACAAAACUAAGUGAAAAAAAAAGAAAAGAAAAGAAAAGAAAACUAAGUGACAGUGGUAUUAUAGGAACGUUCUGUUUAGAAUGACCCAGCUGGUUCUAAUAUCAACAGGAAUGUGACACUACUUUCUGAGUGGUAUGCCUGAUGUUAGAUCUCAGCGUGUCAUCUACUAACCACAACAAAACAACAACAACAAAAACUCUUACGACUUAGGCUGGGAUUUACACCAUCAGUCACCCUGGUUCUCAAGCCUUCAGACUCAGACUGGAUUACACCACUGGCUUUCCUGGGUCUUCAGCUUCUCAUGGAACUUCUCAGCCUCCAUAAUCACAUUAGCGAAUUCCUCAGAAUUAAUUUCCUUUAAUGGCUAUAGAUUUAUAUUUACACCUAUGUCUAUAUUAUAUAAUAUAUGGAUGUCACUAUCCUACUGCUUCAGUCUCUGGAGAACCCUAAUACAGGAAAGAACUUCAAGUGUCCACAGUUUCUACCUAGAAAGUCUUUCAGGAAGUUACACUUUCCAUUGAGAAUAGUCCUUAGGCCAAAAGAAGGGGAUAUUCUGAAGCCAAAUCUAUGUUCAGAAAAGACAUUGGAUGAAUGUAUAAAACUAGAAAUAAAUAUAAAAUGAGAACUAAUGUAAAGCAAAUAGCAUUAUUCAACUUGCAGUAUCCCCAGUGAUGCAUGAAAUUUCAUAUUUUUUCUUAUAUUCCAGUUGCCUUUCAAAAGUAGUAUUAAUAUGACCAUUUUAAGAGUGAGGUAAUUUAGGCCCACUGACACACACCUUAGGUUACACAUUAAUGAGAGACCUGGCUGUUACUCAACUUAAGACCAUUUUAUUCCAAUGCUUUUACUCUUGCUGCAUGAAAGAAAGCAGGCAGAAAAGAGUUCAAAUUGUAUAAUUCUGUUUUGUAUUAAUUUUUUUAUAAAAUUCAAACUAAUGAAUAUAUAAUGAAAACAAAAACAAAAACAAAAAAACCAGAUCUGGAAACCAGGGGUAAAAAGAGGAAUUGACUGUUAAGGAGCACAAGGAAACUUCUGAGGGUGAUGAAAAUGCUUUUAUCCUGAUUGUGGUGAUGGUCUCAUGGGUGUAUAUAUGUGUCAAAACUCAUCAAAUUGUACACUUUAAAUGCACAUAAUUGUUUACCUAAUGGUAAAAAUUAGGCUUAAUAAAACAAGUUUUUAUUAGUUAUAAAAAUAAGACUCUUGUGCAUAAUGAACACACAAAAUAGUAUAAAGAAAAUAAAAUUAUCCAGAAGUAAUCUCUAUUUUAGUUUUCCUUUAUACCUUUCUGCUAAAUAUGAAUAUGUGUGAUUAUCUGUAUCAAUUAAAACUUUUACUAAAUAUACACUUAAUCUAAUAAUAAACUUAAUGUU